rfam:Triticum aestivum genome assembly, contig: Triticum_aestivum_CS42_TGACv1_scaffold_117613_2AS
CUUGUACUCCCUCCGUCCGAAAAUACUUGUCAUUGAAAUGGAUGUAUCUAGAUGUAUUUUAGUUCUAGACACAUCCAUUUUGAUGAUAAGUAAUUCCGGACGGAGGGAGUACUUG